AUCAAGGGUUCUCCUCAUCCAAGGUAUGUUCAUUGUUGGCACUAACAUGUGGUUACAAUUGAAAGGAGUACUUUAAAGUUUUCUCAUUAAAUUAAUAUAUUUAAAGAGUUAUUUUUAAUAAUUAUUUCAAUAAUAAUCCAACAAACUUUUAAAUUACUAACCAAGCUGGAUUACUUAGUUUUAACUAUGCUUAAAUUACUGUAACCUAUGUUACUUUCUUUUGACUCUCUCUCUCUCUGUCACUCUCUCUUUAAUUGUUCAAUCUUAUAUUAUUAAAAUUAUUAUUUGUCUAUAUUAGAUGCUAUGUAAGAUAAGUCACAUGCAUGAGAUUCCAAACUGAGUUUUAAGGUUUCUGUUUUGAAUAAUUGUUAGAUUGCCUAAAAUAUUCCACUAAUGAGAAAAA
rnacentral:misc_RNA from 1 species